rfam:Triticum aestivum genome assembly, contig: Triticum_aestivum_CS42_TGACv1_scaffold_393467_5AS
UCCAUUACUCAGUUGGUAGAGCACAAGGCUCUUAACCUUGUGGUCGUGGGUACAAGCCCUACGAUGGAG